ACCUAGCCCGGAUGGCAGCGGCAUCCUUUUUAUCCCGAUGACAAUCGGGAGAAAAAGAUAUAGCGAACAGCCGGCAGAGUU
rnacentral:sRNA from 1 species